GAGCGGAAGGCCCUUCGGGGUACUCGAGCGGCGAACGGGUGAGUAACACGUGAGUAAUCUGCCCCAGGCUCUGGGAUAGCCACCGGAAACGGUGAUUAAUACCGGAUACGACAACCGAUUGCAUGAUCUGGUUGUGGAAAGUUUUUCGGCCUGGGAUGUGCUCGCGGCCUAUCAGCUUGUUGGUGAGGUAAUGGCUCACCAAGGCUUCGACGGGUAGCCGGCCUGAGAGGGUGACCGGCCACACUGGGACUGAGACACGGCCCAGACUCCUACGGGAGGCAGCAGUGGGGAAUAUUGGACAAUGGGCGGAAGCCUGAUCCAGCAACGCCGCGUGAGGGAUGACGGCCUUCGGGUUGUAAACCUCUUUCAGCACAGACGAAGCGCAAGUGACGGUAUGUGCAGAAGAAGGACCGGCCAACUACGUGCCAGCAGCCGCGGUAAUACGUAGGGUCCGAGCGUUGUCCGGAAUUAUUGGGCGUAAAGGGCUCGUAGGCGGUCUGUCGCGUCGGGAGUGAAAACCAGGUGCUUAACACCUGGCCUGCUUUCGAUACGGGCAGACUAGAGGUACUCAGGGGAGAAUGGAAUUCCUGGUGUAGCGGUGAAAUGCGCAGAUAUCAGGAGGAACACCGGUGGC
rnacentral:rRNA from 1 species